AAGAUCAUACAUAGAAUCAUUUCUAUAGUAUGAUUAGCGAGUUUGCUCACCGAACUUCACAGAAAAUCCUACCACGAUGAUGUGGAAUGGUUUCUAUCUGAGCGUGAAGCCGAUGGUGGCAGUUUUUAACUUGCAUCCCUUUAAUGAUCGCGCUUUCCGACUCCGUGGCAGUUGGAGAAUAGAAACUCGUUCUGAGUUAU